rnacentral:lncRNA from 1 species
AGAAGAAGAAGAAGAAGAAGAAGAAACAAUGGCGACAAGUGCAUCUGCUUUGCUCUCUCCUUCAACAUUCUCCACUGCAAUCUCCCAGAAAAACCCAAACUCCAUCUCAUUCCAUGGCCUCCGUCCUCUCCGCCUCGGUGGCUCCUCCUCCGCCUUACCCAAGCUCUCCACCACCACCGCCGGAAGAAAAUCCUCCUCCGCCGUCGUGAGAGCCGAGCUAAGCCCAUCCGUCGUUAUAAGCCUCAGCACGGGUCUCUCCCUCUUCCUCGGCCGAUUCGUUUUCUUCAACUUCCAGAGAGAGAAUGUGGCCAAACAGGGCUUGCCGGAGCAGAACGGUAAAACCCACUUCGAAGCCGGCGAUGAUCGUGCCAAGGAAUACGUCAGCCUCUUGAAAUCCAACGACCCGAUUGGAUUCAACAUCGUCGAUGUUCUUGCUUGGGGCUCUAUUGGCCACAUCGUUGCUUACUACAUCUUGGCCACUUCUAGCAAUGGCUACGAUCCCAGCUUCUUUGGCUGAUAUUCAUUAUUCUCCAAUCUCUGUCUCCUAUAUGAAUGUAUAUCUUUGACUUGUAUCGCAAGCUAUCUAAUAUAUUCUCUAUCUUUGUUUCUUCUUCUUCUUCUUCCUCCCGUCGUUGUUGUGUCUUGUCCAAGGUUUCUCUCUCGCGUUGCAACUGUUGUUAUGAUUAAUUUUGCCAUUCACAAAGACUGCUUAGGUUCUUCACCUUAUGCUGGUUUAAGUCCAACAUUAGCAGCCUAGCACAAACUACAUGCAUUUCAUUACUACAAACGAUUUUAUGGGUAAUAACAUGUCUUAGAAACUUAUAAGUUGGCCAAAUGUUCAAAGAAAACAAAACUCAUGUAAUGUAAAAGUUGCCAAGAACCUAUGGCCAAGUCUACAACUUAUUGAUUAAAUUAAAGUUCUCAAACAGAAACACAAAAACAGAGAGAUCAAAAGUUACAAACAGAGAAGACAACAACAGAGAAUCACUUAGAGACCCGGCUCAGCCACAUUUUCAGCUGCAUCAGUAGCAGCUGCACUUUCCGCCGCACAAGACUCAAUGAAAGAUUUGUAUUCGGACAUCUCUGUGCGAUACCUCUCCACAUCCUCAAGCCCUUUAUCUUGAUAAACCUGUUCAAAAAAUCAUUAUAAACAGAUCCAUUUUAAUCUCAUUUAAGAUAAAAAGAAACUUGGAAUCCUCAUGGAAAAGAGAGAGUUUUGAUUUACGUUUCUGUGUUACCUUUCUAUCAGAUUCAGAGAGAUUGCUCCACAAGUUCCCAAUUUCUUUAAUGAGAAACCGCUCUCGUCCGGCGUACUCAUGUUUAAGCCUCUUGUACUGCUCGGAAAAGAAGAAGUUAUAGCCGCUCCUGUGGAACUUGGGUCGACGAGAAUCCAUCUGAGAUGAUUUUGAUUUCUUCUUGCGUCUUCGAGUUUCAACACAAGUUUCAGGAAUGUGGUAAAGCACUCCUUUAAGCUCUUCUGAGCCCAUCUUCAUGGUUACAAAAUACCCGUCCUUGAAUUUCCCAUCGAUGAUCCCGUUCACCGGGCAGCCAGGUUGCAGUUCCUCAGUGUCUGUGACAGUUUCAGAAUGCAAAAUCUCAAACACUCCAAAGCUUGAUAAAAAUGGUUAAGUAUAAAGGCAAAAUAUGAAACUCAAGAAACAUAUGGAAAAAAAAUAGCGACUUUAAUUAGCAGCUGAACUACAUUGAAAGCUUCAAGUAUUUUAGUACCUUUGUCAUGAUGUGCAGAUUUUUCGACAAGGCGCUUCACUGCUUCUUCUGAGAAAAAAAAAGGGAGAACGGUGGCUAUGUUAAUCUCGAGUCUCCAUGGAGAAUUAGAAAGAGGCAUAUAAGAAAAAACAUUAUUAUUUUUGGGUAUUUGUUCAGACCUCUCGCCGAGAAUGAAGAAAUUGGCUCUUGGAAGAAAUACACAUGCUCAAAUUCAAAGAGCAUUUUCAGAUAAUACUUCUUUAAAACAAAUGCUGCAUUUGUCAUCUUAAAAUUAAAUGUUCCAAUCACUUCUUUGCAUUUGCGAUCCUUGAUCACCUAAGAAUCAAAAAGGAUUUAAAGAAAAAUUUGUAUGUAAACAACAAAAAAAAAAAA